GUCUUAUAUGGUGUAAUGGUUCAGCACUCUGGACUUUGAAUCAGCGAUCCGCGGGUUCGAGUCCGGAUAGGACU
rnacentral:tRNA from 1 species